GGGAACGUGCCUUCCGGUUCGGAAUAACCCUGGGAAACUAGGGCUAAUACCGGAUACGCCCUUUUGGGGAAAGGUUUACUGCCGGAAGAUCGGCCCGCGUCUGAUUAGCUAGUUGGUGGGGUAACGGCCUACCAAGGCGACGAUCAGUAGCUGGUCUGAGAGGAUGAUCAGCCACACUGGGACUGAGACACGGCCCAGACUCCUACGGGAGGCAGCAGUGGGGAAUAUUGGACAAUGGGCGCAAGCCUGAUCCAGCCAUGCCGCGUGAGUGAUGAAGGCCUUAGGGUUGUAAAGCUCUUUUAUCCGGGACGAUAAUGACGGUACCGGAGGAAUAAGCCCCGGCUAACUUCGUGCCAGCAGCCGCGGUAAUACGAAGGGGGCUAGCGUUGCUCGGAAUCACUGGGCGUAAAGGGCGCGUAGGCGGCGUUUUAAGUCGGGGGUGAAAGCCUGUGGCUCAACCACAGAAUGGCCUUCGAUACUGGGACGCUUGAGUAUGGUAGAGGUUGGUGGAACUGCGAGU
rnacentral:rRNA from 2 species